GAUGGACGCUAGCGGCAGGCCUAAUACAUGCAAGUCGGACGGGAUUCAGGAGCUUGCUUCUGAUGAGAGUGGCGCACGGGUGCGUAACACGUAUGUAACCUACCUUUAUCAGGGGGAUAGCCUCUCGAAAGAGAGAUUAAGCCCGCAUAAAAUCACAGCACAGCAUUGUGUAAUGAUCAAAUAUUUAUAGGAUAAAGAUGGGCAUGCGGAACAUUAGCUAGAUGGCGGGGUAACGGCCCACCAUGGCGACGAUGUUUAGGGGAUCUGAGAGGAUGGCCCCCCACACUAGUACUGAGACACGGACCAGACUCCUACGGGAGGCAGCAGUAAGGAAUAUUGGUCAAUGGGCGGAAGCCUGAACCAGCCAUGCCGCGUGCAGGAAGACGGCCCUACGGGUUGUAAACUGCUUUUAUACGGGAAUAAACCCAGAUACGUGUAUCUGGCUGAAUGUACUGUAAGAAUAAGGAUCGGCUAACUCCGUG
rnacentral:rRNA from 1 species